GAAUUCAACUCCUACGGGAGGCAGCAGUGGGGAAUUUUGGACAAUGGGCGCAAGCCUGAUCCAGCCAUGCCGCGUGCAGGAUGAAGGCCUUCGGGUUGUAAACUGCUUUUGUACGGAACGAAAAGGUUUGGCCUAAUACGCUGAACUCAUGACGGUACCGUAAGAAUAAGCACCGGCUGACUACGUGCCAGCAGCCGCGGUAAUACGUAGGGUGCGAGCGUUAAUCGGAAUUACUGGGCGUAAAGCGUGCGCAGGCGGUUAUGCAAGACAGAUGUGAAAUCCCCGGGCUCAACCUGGGAACUGCAUUAGUGACUGCAUAGCUGGAGUACGGCAGAGGGGGAUGGAAUUCCGCGUGUAGCAGUGAAAUGCGUAGAUAUGCGGAGGAACACCGAUGGCGAAGGCAAUCCCCUGGGCCUGUACUGACGCUCAUGCACGAAAGCGUGGGGAGCAAACAGGAUUAGAUACCCUAGUAGUCCAGGCGUU
rnacentral:rRNA from 1 species